GGAGGAAAGCAGGGGAUCGCAAGACCUCAUGCUCGUGGAGCGGCCGAUAUCCGAUUAGCUAGUUGGUAGGGUAAAAGCCUACCAAGGCAUCGAUCAGUAGCUGGUCUGAGAGGACGACCAGCCACACUGGAACUGAGACACGGUCCAGACUCCUACGGGAGGCAGCAGUGGGGAAUUUUGGACAAUGGGCGAAAGCCUGAUCCAGCAAUGCCGCGUGAGUGAAGAAGGCCUUCGGGUUGUAAAGCUCUUUUGUCAGGGAAGAAACGGUGAAAGCUAAUAUCUUUUGCUAAUGACGGUACCUGAAGAAUAAGCACCGGCUAACUACGUGCCAGCAGCCGCGGUAAUACGUAGGGUGCAAGCGUUAAUCGGAAUUACUGGGCGUAAAGCGUGCGCAGGCGGUUUUGUAAGUCUGAUGUGAAAUCCCCGGGCUCAACCUGGGAAUUGCGUUUGAAACUACAAGGCUAG
rnacentral:rRNA from 1 species